GACGAACGCUGGCGGCGUGCUUAACACAUGCGAGUCGAACGGUGAAGCGCCUUCCUUUUUGGUGGGUGUGGAUGAGUGGCGAACGGGUGAGUAACACGUGAGUAACCUGCCCCCUUCUUCUGGAUAACCGCAUGAGAGUGUGGCUAAUACGGGAUAUUCUGGGUCUGUCGCAUGAUGGGUCUGGGAAAGAUAUUGUUUCGGUGGGGGAUGGGCUCGCGGCCUAUCAGCUUGUUGGUGGGGUGAUGGCCUACCAAGGCGGUGACGGGUAGCCGGCCUGAGAGGGUGGACGGUCACACUGGGACUGAGACACGGCCCAGACUCCUACGGGAGGCAGCAGUGGGGAAUAUUGCACAAUGGGCGCAAGCCUGAUGCAGCGACGCCGCGUGAGGGAUGGAGGCCUUCGGGUUGUGAACCUCUUUCGCCAGUGAAGCAGGCCUGCCUCGUUUGUGGGUGGGUUGACGGUAGCUGGAUAAGAAGCGCCGGCUAACUACGUG
rnacentral:rRNA from 1 species